GGGCCCAUAGCUCAGUUGGUAGAGCGCUGCCUUCGCAAGGCAGAGGCCGCGGGUUCGAAUCCCGCUGGGUCCA
rnacentral:tRNA from 1 species